UACGUAGGGUGCGAGCGUUAAUCGGAAUUACUGGGCGUAAAGCGUGCGUAGGCGGUUCGUUAAGUCAGUUGUGAAAGCCCCGGGCUCAACCUGGGAAUUGCGGUUGAAACUGGCGAACUAGAAUCUGGCAGAGGGGGGUGGAAUUCCACGUGUAGCAGUGAAAUGCGUAGAGAUCGGAAAGAACACCAACGGCGAAAGCACUCUGCUGGGCCGACACUGACACUGAGAGACGAAAGCUAGGGGAGCGAAUGGG
rnacentral:rRNA from 1 species